rnacentral:tRNA from 1 species
UUAGUUAAAACCAAAGAGAGGUAUAUUAUUGUUAAUAAUAAAAUUGAGACAAAUUCUAACUAAC